UACGAAGGUCCCAAGCGUUAUCCGGAUUUAUUGGGUUUAAAGGGUGCGUAGGCGGGCUAUUAAGUCAGUGGUGAAAGCCCCAAGCUUAACUUGGGAACUGCCAUUGAUACUGAUGCUCUUGAGUACAUUUGAGGUGGGCGGAAUGUGUCAUGUAGCGGUGAAAUGCUUAGAUAUGACACAGAACACCGAUUGCGAAGGCAGCUCACUAAACUGUAACUGACGCUGAGGCACGAAAGCGUGGGGAGCAAACAGG
rnacentral:rRNA from 1 species